rnacentral:rRNA from 1 species
GACGAACGCUGGCGGCGUGCCUAAUACAUGCAAGUAGAACGCUGAAGCUUGGUGCUUGCACCGAGCGGAUGAGUUGCGAACGGGUGAGUAACGCGUAGGUAACCUGCCUGGUAGCGGGGGAUAACUAUUGGAAACGAUAGCUAAUACCGCAUAAGAGUAGAUGUUGCAUGACAUUUGCUUAAAAGGUGCAAUUGCAUCACUACCAGAUGGACCUGCGUUGUAUUAGCUAGUUGGUGAGGUAACGGCUCACCAAGGCAACGAUACAUAGCCGACCUGAGAGGGUGAUCGGCCACACUGGGACUGAGACACGGCCCAGACUCCUACGGGAGGCAGCAGUAGGGAAUCUUCGGCAAUGGACGGAAGUCUGACCGAGCAGCGCCGCGUGAGUGAAGAAGGGUUUCGGAUCGUAAAGCUCUGUUGUAAGAGAAGAACGAGUGUGAGAGUGGAAAGUUCACACUGUGACGGUAUCUUACCAGAAAGGGACGGCUAACUACGUG